rnacentral:rRNA from 1 species
AGUCGUAACAAGGUCUCCGUUGGUGAACCAGCGGAGGGAUCAUUACUGAGUUUACGCUCUACAACCCUUUGUGAACAUACCUACAACUGUUGCUUCGGCGGGUAGGGUCUCCGCGACCCUCCCGGCCUCCCGCCUCCGGGCGGGUCGGCGCCCGCCGGAGGAUAACCAAACUCUGAUUUAACGACGUUUCUUCUGAGUGGUACAAGCAAAUAAUCAAAACUUUUAACAACGGAUCUCUUGGUUCUGGCAUCGAUGAAGAACGCAGCGAAAUGCGAUAAGUAAUGUGAAUUGCAGAAUUCAGUGAAUCAUCGAAUCUUUGAACGCACAUUGCGCCCGCCAGCAUUCUGGCGGGCAUGCCUGUUCGAGCGUCAUUUCAACCCUCAAGCUCUGCUUGGUGUUGGGGCCCUACAGCCGAUGUAGGCCCUCAAAGGUAGUGGCGGACCCUCCCGGAGCCUCCUUUGCGUAGUAACUUUACGUCUCGCACUGGGAUCCGGAGGGACUCUUGCCGUAAAACCCCCCAAUUUUCCAAAGGUUGACCUCGGAUCAGGUAGGAAUACCCGCUGAACUUAAGCAUAUCAAUAAGCGGAGGA